GACCCCCAGAGGGGAGGGGCCGGGAGUCCUCGGGGGCCCGGGGUGCCCGGAGAGGGGCUGGGGGUCGGUUUAGGGGGCCGGGACCCCCGGGCGUGGGGCUGGGCUGGAGGCUGGGGCUCCAGAGAAGGGGCUGGGGGCCGCGUCGUGGGACCCCCAGCGUGGGAGUGGGGGAGACAGCAGCCCCCUCAGAGCUGGUGCUGCUGCAGCGGGGAGGAGGGCUCCCCUGGGAAGGUGCUUCCAGAGCGGAAUCGGGUUCGGAGCGCGGAUACCCCUCGAAGGAGGUGGAAGGCAUGACACCUUCCCUGCAGCGCUGGUGUCACAUGCAUGGUGGGGAACCGAGGUCGAGGCCCCCCCGAGCUAGGUCUGACGGAUGGGGGGUGGGAGAAGGGCCCUCCUGAGGACUGUUUGCGAUUCAAACAGCUACACCCUUUCCUCAGGAUAAAUCCUUGGGGGCUGGAGCAGAUCUGGAGACGCCGUAAGUGUCCAGGGCGGCACUGCUGGCAUCCUGCUCGCCAGCAGCACUUGGCCGGGGCACAAGCCAUUUCCGCUCCAGCUGAAGCUAAAAGAGCAGAAAGUUCCCUCACCGAGGAGCCUGGAUCCACGAGGCAAGUGGCCCCAGAAGCAGGAGGUAAAGCUGCCCUCUGAGCUCAGGGUUUGUGCAGGGAAAAACAGACUGAGCAUCUCUCCCCGAGAAGGCUGGGGCACGAUUACAGCAUGGGAAGGAGGAGAAAACCCAGUGAGAUCUGCUGACUUUACCACUGCUUCCUGUCCUCUUCUCUGCUACCAUAGAUGCUGUCUCCGUUUCUGGCUACAUCAUGAUCAGACUCUUUUGGAGCUAUCAGUUAACAUGGUAUGAAACAGAA